GACGAACGCUGGCGGCGUGCUUAACACAUGCAAGUCGAACGGAAAGGCCCUGCUUUUGUGGGGUGCUCGAGUGGCGAACGGGUGAGUAACACGUGAGUAACCUGCCCUUGACUUUGGGAUAACUUCAGGAAACUGGGGCUAAUACCGGAUAGGAGCUCCUGCUGCAUGGUGGGGGUUGGAAAGUUUCGGCGGUUGGGGAUGGACUCGCGGCUUAUCAGCUUGUUGGUGGGGUAGUGGCUUACCAAGGCUUUGACGGGUAGCCGGCCUGAGAGGGUGACCGGCCACAUUGGGACUGAGAUACGGCGCAGACUCCUACGGGAGGCAGCAGUGGGGAAUAUUGCACAAUGGGCGGAAGCCUGAUGCAGCAACGCCGCGUGCGGGAUGACGGCCUUCGGGUUGUAAACCGCUUUCGCCUGUGACGAAGCGUGAGUGACGGUAAUGGGUAAAGAAGCACCGGCUAACUACG
rnacentral:rRNA from 1 species